rnacentral:lncRNA from 1 species
UGAAUACUCAGAGAAGGAGUGGGUAGUUGCAGACAAAUUUGGAGGCCGGUGCUCAAGUCAACAUGAUGCCAGGAAAUAUUAAUGUAGGAGAAACGCUGGCAGUGUAAGGCUUUCCCUGUUUUGUGUCUGUGGCUCAGUCAAGUGAGAGGAAUGCCUUCUCCAACAUGCAGAGUUUUCCAGUGGCUCAGAUGAAGCUGAUGAACAAACAUGCACUGCAGGCCUCUGUGACCAGUAUAGAUAGACGAGACAUAAUAAGGAGUAUCUAA